GAAACGACUGCUAAGACUGGAUAGGAAAAGUGAAGGCAUCUUUACUUUUUUAAAAGACCUUCUUUGAAGGUAUGCUUAAGGAGGGGCUUGCGACACAUUAGUUAGUUGGCAGGGUAAAGGCCUACCAAGACUAUGAUGUGUAGCUGGACUGAGAGGUUGAACAGCCACAUUGGGACUGAGACACGGCCCAAACUCCUACGGGAGGCAGCAGUAGGGAAUUUUCGGCAAUGGAGGAAACUCUGACCGAGCAACGCCGCGUGAACGACGAAGUACCUCGGUAUGUAAAGUUCUUUUAUUAAGGAAGAAAAAAGAGUGGAAAAACUCCCUUGACGGUACUUAAUGAAUAAGCCCCGGCUAAUUAUGUGCCAGCAGCCGCGGUAAUACAUAAGGGGCGAGCGUUAUCCGGAAUUAUUGGGCGUAAAGGGUGCGUAGGCGGUUUAAUAAGUCUAUAGUUUAAUUUCAGCGCUUAACGCUGUUGUGCUAUAGAAACUGUUUUACUAGAGUGAGAUAGAGGCAAGCGGAAUUCCAUGUGUAGCGGUAAAAUGCGUAAAUAUAUGGAGGAACACCAGAGGCGUAGGCGGCUUGCUGGGUCUUUACUGACGCUGAGGCACGAAAGCGUGGGGAGCAAACAGGAUUAGAUACCCUGGUAGUCCACGCCGUAAACGAUGAGUACUAAGUGUCGGGUAAAACCGGUACUGAAGUUAACACAUUAAGUACUCCGCCUGAGGAGUACGUACGCAAGUAUGAAACUUAAAGGAAUUGACGGGACUCCGCACAAGCGGUGGAUCAUGUUGUUUAAUUCGAAGAUACACGAAAAACCUUACCAGGUCUUGACAUUUUCUUGCGAAGUUAUAGAAAUAUAAUGGAGGUUAUCAGGAAAACAGGUGGUGCAUGGUUGUCGUCAGCUCGUGUCGUGAGAUGUUAGGUUAAGUCCUAAAACGAGCGCAACCCUUGUCGUUAAUUGCCAGCAUGUAAUGAUGGGGACUUUAACGAGACUGCCAAUGAAAAAUUGGAGGAAGGUGGGGAUUACGUCAAAUCAUCAUGCCCCUUAUGAUCUGGGCUACAAACGUGAUACAAUGGUUGAUACAAAGAGUAGCUGAAACGCGAGUUCUUAGCCAAUCUCACAAAAUCAAUCUCAGCUCGGAUUGAAGUCUGCAACUCGACUUCAUGAAGUUGGAAUCGCUAGUAAUCGUGAAUCAGCAUGUCGCGGUGAAUACGUUCUCGGGGUUUGUACACACCGCCCGUCA
rnacentral:rRNA from 1 species